rnacentral:rRNA from 1 species
AGUGAACGCUGGCGGUAGGCCUAACACAUGCAAGUCGAACGGCAGCACAGUAAGAGCUUGCUCUUACGGGUGGCGAGUGGCGGACGGGUGAGGAAUACAUCGGAAUCUACUUUUUCGUGGGGGAUAACGUAGGGAAACUUACGCUAAUACCGCAUACGACCUACGGGUGAAAGUAGGGGAUCUUCGGACCUUGCGCGAUUGAAUGAGCCGAUGUCGGAUUAGCUAGUUGGCGGGGUAAAGGCCCACCAAGGCGACGAUCCGUAGCUGGUCUGAGAGGAUGAUCAGCCACACUGGAACUGAGACACGGUCCAGACUCCUACGGGAGGCAGCAGUGGGGAAUAUUGGACAAUGGGCGCAGGCCUGAUCCAGCCAUACCGCGUGUGUGAAGAAGGCCUUCGGGUUGUAAAGCCCUUUUGUUGGGAAAGAAAAGCAGCAGGUUAAUACCCCGCUGUUCUGACGGUACCCAAAGAAUAAGCACCGGCUAACUUCGUG